UCUCAGUGCUGGUCCUUGGGAAUUAAACAAAAGAAGAAAGAAAUCUAUGGAACUUCAGUGAGCCAUUAACAAGUUUCACAAAUGAAUUUGCAAAGCAAAAAUUGUCAUUUCUUACUGAAUCCUAGCCAUGUAAGUGUAUACUGCUCAUGUUCUUUUUCUGGAAUAACAAAUUUUGUGUGUCAAUGUACUUGGAAUCGUAGAGAUGUAAAUAAUUUCUAACAUGGAAGGAUACUCUUCUAACUGUGAAAGUACUUUGAAAAGCGUGUAACAAUUGCCAGCUACUGUUAGUAGAGGGAAGCUAUUACAACCAGAAGCUAAUUCAAAAAAUGCUUCUUCUGAGCAUGUCAGCAGUAUCUUCUUUCUGGUAUCUACGCUUUGCUUAUUAGAAUGAAUUUAACUCUCAGUACUUCUCCACCAGUGUUGAAUUGGUUCCCUCACCCCUUAACAUUGUCAACAUGUUCUCAUUAUUAUAACCUUGAAUUUUAAUAGUAUGCGUAAGGUAAAAUGCAAGAGUGUGCCUGGCAGAAAAGUCUUUUGAAUGUGAGUCUAAUAAAGUGUGUCUGCCCUAGUGCACUGCUAAUGAAUUUAGGGAAGAAAGACAUAUAAAGAAAAAAGGCAGUCAUUACACAGACAUAUACUGGAACUGAGCAACAAGAGACUAGGUGCUAAUGUUGUCAUAAUUGAUAUCAAAAGAUAAAACUAGCAAUUAUCUGGAUUACCAAGAAAGGAGAAAGCAGGGGCUUCUCUUUCAAGGUUAGCCUAAAAUGCAAGUUGUGAUGGAUUGUCUUUUAGUCAAGCACCAGAUUCUGCUGGGCCUUUGCCCACCAGACUCACUGCCCCAGACACAUGACAAGAGCCUUGGCCUCAGCCUGUGUUCCAGCCAUUGAUGUGGGGGGGGUUAACCUUGGCUGUGGGGCCAAGCACCCACCCAGCGCCUCGCUCACUUCCCCUCCUCUGCGAGAUGGGAGAAGCAGCUCGGAUGAGAAAACUUACGGGUAGAGAUAAAGACAGAGAGAUCACUUAACAAUUACUGGCACAGGCAAACCAGACUUGAACUGGGGAAAAUUAUUUUAGUUUGCUGUCAAUUCAAUAGGUUCAGGUAGUGGAAAACAAGAAAGCAAAUGUUAAAACAUUUCACCCCCGCUUUCCUAGGCUCAACUUCACUCCGUCACUCCCAACACCUUGACCCAUCCCCCGACGUGGUGCAGGAGGGAUGGGGGGUGGUGGGGAGGUCUGCUGCUCCUCCUCAUAACUUUCCCCUGCUCCGCGGUGGGUUCCUUCCGGAAAUAAAUUUAUCCCACCAUGGUCUCCUCCAUGAGCUGCAGGAGAAUCUCUGCUCCAUGUUGGAGCACCUCCUCCCUUUCUUGCUUCUCUGACCUUGGUGUUCCCUCUGCUGUUUCUUGCUCUUUCCCCCCACCUCCUCCUGCUCUGCCUAUACAUCAUUUUUUCCCCUGUCUUAGGUACAGUUUCACACAGGUGCCACCAUCUUUGCUCUGCAAUGGUCCAUUGGAGCUGGCUGGAAUUGUCCGUGUCCAGCACAGAGCAGCCCUGGCCUCUCCUCACUGAGGCCACUCCUGCAGCGCUGCCCCCUGCCACUCCCAAAACCUUGUUGAUGGUGCCUAAUACAGGAUGUAACUGCUUUUCACCAGUUAAAGAGAUCCAGCUGGCCAAGUGCAACCUGUUCUCCCAAGCAGUGCAAGUCUCCCAAGGGUUUUCUCGUCUGCUUCUUAGAAAACCACCACUACAAAACCACCUGGUGAUUUCUCAGGCAAUACAGACAGCGCAUCUCUCAUGUGCUGGAAGAAUCAAAGCUACUGAUGGAAACAACAUAUUGAUUAUCUAACCUCCCUCUGGCAGUGCCUUUCUAAUACCUUUCCCAGCUUUUCAGCCCUCCCAAGAAAGAAAGCUUACGUGCCUUUAUGCAUACAAAAAGCCAAGAAGUAUAUUAAAUAUUUUUGAGCAGCACCUACGGGCAUUUUACAUAUUUUGAACUGCUCACAUCUACGCAGAUUACACAGACCUCCAAAUCAGCAUGAAAAACGGAGGUAUCUAUAAGCUAACUUUCCAGACUUGAUUUUCAUUUUUGUAUGCUUAUUAGUUAAGGACAAAUAUGUGCAGUAUCCAAGCCGUCUCUAUGCUGUAACAUCCUUUUCUCUAAAAGAACAUAUUUACAGAGAACUUAAUGAGACAGCUUCUGCUUUUGGCCUGUGUGUUAACCAAUUCUGCGAUGCUGAAGCUGGUUUGUAGACAGCUGUCCUUCUGUUGUCACCGCUAAAAAAAAAAAUUAAAAAUGUCUCUGCUCUGGUCUUGGAGCUGCAUCAUCAACUUUUUCUAGAGGUACCUGGGUGAGCAGCAGGAUGCUUUUCUGCAGUGCUGACAGGUACCGCUGCUGCAUUAUGUCCCAGAUUCUCUCCGCGAUGGGAACCUUCCUCAGUGGCAUACGGCUGCAGCAAACGUGCCAGUACUCCAGGAACAAAAGCAAAAUGCUGCCAAAAGAGGAAAAAAGUCCAUUAAAGAAUAUUUCUGCAUGUGGCAGUGAGAAAAUAUUAUCAGUGUCAUUAAUGACACAUGAUGAAAACAUACAGAGGAAUGAUAAGAAGACUUUUAACCUUUAUUCAGAAUUCAUUUAUAGCCCAAGUACCUGGAACUUGAUUUAAAUGGGAAUGAGGAAUAUCUGGAAAUUGCUAUAUUACAAGGAACAUCUAGUCUUGAAAAAUGGCACAGAAGUUAUUAUGAAGUCACAUAAAUGUCAAAAAACUUCAUGUGGGCUGUGGGCAUGUGUCACUGAAGAUGCUGAAGAUUUUCUUCUGUGCUUAUGUCAGUGCUGGGAGAGGGAGAUUGAAAUACAGUCUCGAUGAGAAUUUACAUCCUUCUGCAAAAAGCUGAAAUCCUACUUAAGUGAAUUUCAUUGCGACUGGUAUUAACAAUGCAGAUUAAGGCUCAAGUUACUCUUUCCUGGGAAUGAUGGCUCUCAUUCUAUCAAAGUGCACCGGCUAACCUGUAACUGUGAUGUGUGCCUGGUUCCUGUGUUAAAUGCAUUUGGAGAAGAAUAAAUUUUCAAGAAUGACACGUUUUUCUCUGCUCGUACAUUUUGUUUUGUGUUGUGUAAAAUCUGAACACACCUUACCUUGCAUCUGAAAUCUCCUUAUUGUAAUGAAAACAGAAGUUUUACUUUUGAAGCAUAUAUUUUAAAUGCCAGCUUCCUCUAAUUUGCCUCUUCUGUCCAUCCACUGGUUCUAGAAUAACUUUCUGUAGUGGAUCACUGGAAGUAGUGAUGGAGAGUCAGUUCUUACUGUGACAUUCUUGUCCUUUCAAUUUGUCACUCUUAACAAAAAAAUCUUUUCCCAAUAUUACUUUCAAACACACAGACUGGCAAGCUUUGAGAAGAAGAACUUACGGAGUUUAUCACAACUUCCGGCUAUCGGGAUUCCACUGGGAAAUAUUUUCUUGUAAUCAAAUGUUUGACAUCUGAUGCUUUCAAGAUAUUAUUUAGCUAGAUUAUUUCCAAGGGUAUUUCCAAGACUUUCCUGUAUGUUGAAGUUUGCCACAUUCAGAUGUAUUGCAGACUGUUGUUUCAUGUAAGCAUAUCCAGGCAUCUGGACCUGGAUUGAAAUCUUGAACUGUAGUCUGUAUUGUGAAUUUUACAUACUUUGAUACUUAAAUUGAGUAAAUGAGCUGGAAUAAGUGCCCUUUUUCCCCACUGCUGUCAUCAUUUUUUAUGAAAACGGCCUGAAAUGCAUCAGAGGUGGACUUCUAGACACUCUCAGCACAGUGGGAAAUAGUUUUACUCCCUCAGGAGUUGCACACAUACACAGACUUUGUAAAGUAAUGAAGCCAAUUCAUAUACAUCAGUGUUUUUAUUUGAAGGGUCUGUCAAAAUUAAAUUCUUAAGAAGGCAACUGUAGACAUCUGCUACAUGUGCAGCAGUGGUGACACAGCCAGGGUUUACUAUGAUCUUCUACGUGUUACAGCUUUAAGCAAAAGGACGUAUUGGCAAUUAGGUUUUCUGCAUAAUAGGCAGACAAUGCAAAGCACAAAGCUGGAAUUCUGUAUUGUGGUAGAAAUGCUCAAUGUCACCAGAGCUAUUGACUUUUCCCACCUGGCUUGCAGGCAUUUGGAGAGAAAUAACAUAUGUGCCGUAUUGUAAAAUGUGGACUUAAUGAACACACAGGCGUUAUGUUACACAAAAUGUAACAAUAGACGUGAUGGCAAGCUACUUAAGAACAUGUCACAAUGUUUUGUUAGUAACUGAUUUGCCUUUGGCAAUAUUUUGAGGAAGA